GUACAAAUGGCUGGCACUGGGAUAUUACUGGAAAGAAAACUGAGUGUGGGAGAGGAUUCUUAAUUAAGUUUCUGUCUAAUUAGGGAUCUAUCCAUGCAUUAUAGGAGGCAAAGAGGGGAUAUAAAAAAAUAAAAAUAAAAAAAAAAUCCAACCAUAUAGUAAUUUUUUUCACAGUGUCCCAUUUCCCAAGAAUAACAGUUUAACAAUAGAGCAAGUCAAUGGAAUGUAAAUAUCAUUGGUAGUUAGUAAAUAUUUCUUCUUUCAAACUGCAAAUCCUGUUGCCCUCUACCUGCU